rnacentral:rRNA from 1 species
CCUACGGGGGGCUGCAGUGAGGAAUAUUGGUCAAUGGGCGUAAGCCUGAACCAGCCAAGUCGCGUGAGGGAUGAAGGUUCUAUGGGUCGUAAACCUCUUUUAUAAGGGAAUAAAGUGUGGCACGUGUCCUUUUUUGUAUGUACCUUAUGAAUAAGGAUCGGCUAACUCCGUGCCAGCAGCCGCGGUAAUACGGAGGAUCCGAGCGUUAUCCGGAUUUAUUGGGUUUAAAGGGAGCGUAGGUGGGUUGUUAAGUCAGCGGUGAAAGUCUGUGGCUCAACCGUAGAAUUGCCGGUGAUACUGGGAGGCUUGAGUACGGUUGAGGUAGGCGGAAUUCGUGGUGUAGCGGUGAAAUGCUUAGAUAUCACGAAGAACCCCGAUUGCGAAGGCAGCCUACUAAGCCACGACUGACACUGAUGCACGAAAGCGUGGGGAUCAAACAGGAUUAGAUACCCCGGUAGUC